rnacentral:ncRNA from 1 species
CUUAUCAAGAGUGGCUGAGGGAUUGGCCCUUAGACGCCCGGCAACCGACUUUAAUAAAGAUUAACAUACGCUCUUUUUGAAAUACGGUGCCAAUUCCAGCGGGAUAAUAUAGUGCCCGGAAGAUGAGA